rnacentral:rRNA from 1 species
AUACGUAGGGGGCGAGCGUUGUCCGGAAUGAUUGGGCGUAAAGGGCGCGUAGGCGGCCCGGUAAGUCUGGAGUGAAAGUCCUGUUUUUAAGAUGGGAAUUGCUUUGGAUACUGUCGGGCUUGCGUGCCGGAGAGGUAAGUGGAAUUCCCAGUGUAGCGGUGAAAUGCGUAGAGAUUGGGAGGAACACCAGUGGCGAAGGCGACUUACUGGACUGUAACUGACGCUGAGGCGCGAAAGUGUGGGGAGCAAACAGGAUUAGAUACCCUGGUAGUCCACACUGUAAACGAUGAAUGCUAGGUGUAGGGGGUAUCGACCCCUUCUGUGCCGCAGUCAACACAAUAAGCAUUCCGCCUGGGGAGUACGGCCGCAAGGUUGAAACUCAAAGGAAUUGACGGGG